GAUGAACGCUGGCGGCGUGCCUAAUACAUGCAAGUCGAGCGAACGGACGAGAAGCUUGCUUCUCUGAUGUUAGCGGCGGACGGGUGAGUAACACGUGGAUAACCUACCUAUAAGACUGGGAUAACUUCGGGAAACCGGAGCUAAUACCGGAUGAUAUUUUGAACCGCAUGGUUCAAAAGUGAAAGACGGUCUUGCUGUCACUUAUAGAUGGAUCCGCGCUGCAUUAGCUAGUUGGUAAGGUAACGGCUUACCAAGGCAACGAUGCAUAGCCGACCUGAGAGGGUGAACGGACACCCUGGAACUGAGACACGGCCCACACUCCUACGGGAGGCAGCAGUAGGGAAUCUUCCGCAAUGGGGGAAAGCCUGACGGAGCAACGCCGCGUGAGUGAUGAAGGUCUUCGGAUCGUAAAACUCUGUUAUUCGGGAAGAACAUAUGUGUAAGUAACUGUGAACAUAUUGACGGUACCUAAUCAGAAAGCCACGGCUAACUACGUG
rnacentral:rRNA from 1 species